UAAACGACUCUCGGCAACGGAUAUCUCGGCUCUCGCAUCGAUGAAGAACGUAGCGAAAUGCGAUACUUGGUGUGAAUUGCAUAAUCCCGUGAAUCAUCGAGUCUUUGAACGCAAGUUGCGCCCGAAGCCUUUUGGCCGAGGGCACGUCUGCCUGGGUGUCACGC
rnacentral:rRNA from 1 species